rnacentral:rRNA from 1 species
AGGGAUGACGGCCUUCGGGUUGUAAACCUCUUUCAGCAGGGAAGAAGCGAAAGUGACGGUACCUGCAGAAGAAGCGCCGGCUAACUACGUGCCAGCAGCCGCGGUAAUACGUAGGGCGCGAGCGUUGUCCGGAAUUAUUGGGCGUAAAGAGCUCGUAGGCGGCUUGUCGCGUCGGUUGUGAAAGUCGGGGGCUCAACCCUCGAAUGCCGGCCGAUACUGUCAAGCUAGAGUCCGGAAGAGGCGAGUGGAAUUCCUGGUGUAGCGGUGAAAUGCGCAGAUAUCAGGAGGAACACCAAUGGCGAAGGCAGCUCGCUGGGACGGUACUGACGCUGAGACGCGAAAGCGUGGGGAGCAAACAGGAUUAGAUACCCUGGUAGUCCACGCCGUAAACGAUGGGCACUAGGUGUGGGAGGUGUCGACUCCUUCCGUGCCGAAGCUAACGCAUUAAGUGCCCCGCCUGGGGAGUACGGCCGCAAGGCUA